GAACGCUGGCGGCGUGCCUAAUACAUGCAAGUCGAGCGAACAGACGAGGAGCUUGCUCCUCUGACGUUAGCGGCGGACGGGUGAGUAACACGUGGAUAACCUACCUAUAAGACUGGGAUAACUUCGGGAAACCGGAGCUAAUACCGGAUAAUAUAUUUAACCGCAUGGUUCAAUAGUGAAAGACGGUUUUGCUGUCACUUAUAGAUGGAUCCGCGCCGCAUUAGCUAGUUGGUAAGGUAACGGCUUACCAAGGCAACGAUGCGUAGCCGACCUGAGAGGGUGAUCGGCCACACUGGAACUGAGACACGGUCCAGACUCCUACGGGAGGCAGCAGUAGGGAAUCUUCCGCAAUGGGCGAAAGCCUGACGGAGCAACGCCGCAUGAGUGAUGAAGGUCUUCGGAUCGUAAAACUCUGUUAUUAGGGAAGAACAAAUGUGUAAGUAACUAUGCACGUCUUGACGGUACCUAAUCAGAAAGCCACGGCUAACUACGUG
rnacentral:rRNA from 1 species